rnacentral:rRNA from 1 species
GACGAACGCUGGCGGCGCGCUUAACACAUGCAAGUCGAGCGAUAACCAUGGCUUCGGCCAUGGGGAGAGCGGCGAACGGGUGAGUAACACGUGAGUAAUCUGCCCUCGACACUGGGAUAGCCCGGGGAAACCCGGAUUAAUACCGGAUAGCCUCUCGAGCUUUCGGGCUCGUGAGAAAAGAUGGCUUCGGCUUUCGGUUGAGGAGGAGCUUGCGGCGGAUUAGCUUGUUGGUGAGGAACGGCCCACCAAGGCGACGAUCCGUAGCUGGUCUGAGAGGACGAUCAGCCACACUGGGACUGAGACACGGCCCAGACUCCUACGGGAGGCAGCAGUGGGGAAUCUUGCGCAAUGGGCGAAAGCCUGACGCAGCGACGCCGCGUGAGGGAAGAAGGCCU